UUUUGUGCGAGAUUUCUUUGUCAAUUGGGAGGUUGGGUUAUCGCCGGACAACAUACAUUGGGCGGAUAGAUUUGACUCAGAAUAAGUUUGCCUACUUUCCUAUCAUUUUCUGUGUUAUGAAAUUCUCAUCUUUUUUUAUUUCCUUUCGUUUAUAUGGAGAUGUACAUUGCAAUUGUAUUAUGAAUUUACAGGAUUAAGGUGGUUGAUUUGAGUCAGACACGGCUAUUUGGUGGUCUAUCUCUUUGGGAGGUUUUCAUCUCUAUAAAAAUUCAGAUGUAAGUUUGUGAGCCUGACAACCAUUCAGUGUAGUUGUCACUCUUUCAGGAUUGGCGUUGUGAAACGGGCACCUGGGUAGUUGGGGUUCGAGGACUUUGUGGUGAACGUUCUUUAAGCGAUUGCAGAGGAUUUAUUGGUAUUUAAGUUUUUAUCGAGGCUUAUGUGUGAUUUCUCCUGAUUUAGUGGAUUUUCUGACAGCGUUGGAACUUUUCGUUGGGUUUCUUGUUCCUCAGUAUGAUCGGGGUUUCCUUAGUUGGCAUGUACUGAGAGGAUUUAGAUGAUCUAUUUGAGCUGUCAUGGCCAUCCAGAUGUCCUUGUCAACGGGGGGUUAUAUUCAAAUUUAAGUUUACAAGCUUGUACGAUCAUUCGGAAUCUGUAUAUUACAGGGUCUUAGUCUUAGUUAUAAUGUUUGCUUUUAGGUUUGCGGUGUGCAUCCGAUAGCGUGGUUGCGAGGACUGGAUGGAGGUUUGAGGGUUUUGUUGUGCCCCUUUCUUUUUUACUAAUUAGAGUGGAUUUAACGAAAUUUAAUUCAAUGUUAAAUCUGAUAUCUUUCUUUUUAUUUAUUUUAGAAAUGUAAUUUUUUGUAUCGGUGUUGAAUCUGUUUGAUGGUUUUCAUAUUCACCAGGAAGAUUCAAUGUUCGUUGGCGUUGAGAUAUUUAGUGGAACUAAUUCCUGUCUUUUAUGUUUCCAAAUGUCUUUAAUCUUUCCUUCUUUUUCUUCUACACACAUUGCGAAUGUGUUAUGAUUCUGCAGGAACCGGGAGGUUGAUUUUAGAUGGAGGUGGCUACUCAUAUGUAUAUGUCCUAAGGGCUUUUUUAUGGUCAUGAAUAUCUCACUGUAUGUUUUCAAACACGAAUAUCAUUGGCGAGAGUUAUGUAAGAUUUACUUGCGUUGUCAUUGCUUGUUGGGUGGCAGUGUGACAUUAGUAGAAAGAAUGUUGAGGUUGGGCGAAGGUUUUUAGAUUUUGUUACUCCACCUUCAUUUUGUAAAUUAAAGUGGAUCUAGUGAUCUUUAAAUCAGUUUUAAGUUUUAGCUUUGCUCUCUCUAU